rnacentral:rRNA from 1 species
AUUGAACGCUGGCGGCAGGCUUAACACAUGCAAGUCGAGCGGAGAUGAGGUGCUUGCACCUUAUCUUAGCGGCGGACGGGUGAGUAAUGCUUAGGAAUCUGCCUAUUAGUGGGGGACAACAUUCCGAAAGGAAUGCUAAUACCGCAUACGUCCUACGGGAGAAAGCAGGGGACCUUCGGGCCUUGCGCUAAUAGAUGAGCCUAAGUCGGAUUAGCUAGUUGGUGGGGUAAAGGCCUACCAAGGCGACGAUCUGUAGCGGGUCUGAGAGGAUGAGCCGCCACACUGGGACUGAGACACGGCCCAGACUCCUACGGGAGGCAGCAGUGGGGAAUAUUGGACAAUGGGCGGAAGCCUGAUCCAGCCAUGCCGCGUGUGUGAAGAAGGCCUUUUGGUUGUAAAGCACUUUAAGCGAGGAGGAGGCUACUAGUACUAAUACUACUGGAUAGUGGACGUUACUCGCAGAAUAAGCACCGGCUAACUCUGUGCCAGCCGCCGCAGUAAAAC